rnacentral:rRNA from 1 species
CACGUAGGGCGCGAGCGUUGUCCGGAAUUAUUGGGCGUAAAGAGCUCGUAGGCGGCCUGUUGCGUCCGCUGUGAAGGCCCGGGGCUUAACCCCGGGUCGGCAGUGGAUACGGGCAGGCUAGAGGUAGGUAGGGGAGAAUGGAAUUCCCGGUGUAGCGGUGAAAUGCGCAGAUAUCGGGAGGAACACCGGUGGCGAAGGCGGUUCUCUGGGCCUUACCUGACGCUGAGGAGCGAAAGCGUGGGGAGCGAACAGG